rnacentral:rRNA from 1 species
UACGGGGGGGGCAAGCGUUGUUCGGAAUUACUGGGCGUAAAGGGCGCGUAGGCGGCCUUCUAAGUCGGACGUGAAAUCCCUCGGCUUAACCGAGGAACUGCGUCCGAUACUGAAAGGCUUGAAUCCGGGAGAGGGAUGUGGAAUUCCAGGUGUAGCGGUGAAAUGCGUAGAUAUCUGGAGGAACACCGGUGGCGAAGGCGGCAUCCUGGACCGGCAUUGACGCUGAGGCGGCGAAAAGCUAGGGGAGCAAACGGG